GUGGGGAAUAUUGGACAAUGGGCGCAAGCCUGAUCCAGCAAUGCCGCGUGUGUGAAGAAGGUUUUCGGAUUGUAAAGCACUUUCAGCGGGGACGAUGAUGACGGUACCCGCAGAAGAAGCCCCGGCUAACUUCGUGCCAGCAGCCGCGGUAAUACGAAGGGGGCAAGCGUUGCUCGGAAUGACUGGGCGUAAAGGGCGCGUAGGCGGUUGACACAGUCAGAUGUGAAAUUCCCGGGCUUAACCUGGGGGCUGCAUUUGAUACGUGGCGACUAGAGUGUGAGAGAGGGUUGUGGAAUUCCCAGUGUAGAGGUGAAAUUCGUAGAUAUUGGGAAGAACACCGGUGGCGAAGGCGGCAACCUGGCUCAUAACUGACGCUGAGGCGCGAAAGCGUGGGGAGCAAACAGGAUUAGAAACCCGGGUAGUCC
rnacentral:rRNA from 1 species